UGCCAGCCGCCGCGGUAAGACGGAGGGUGCAAACGUUGUUCGGAAUCACUGGGCAUAAAGCGCGCGUAGGCGGUUCUCUAAGUCAGGUGUGAAAUCCCCCGGCUCAACCGGGGAACUGCACCUGAUACUGGAGAACUCGAGGAUGGUAGGGGUAAGCGGAACUCCAGGUGGAGCGGUGAAAUGCGUAGAUAUCUGGAGGAACACCGGUGGCGAAAGCGGCUUACUGGGCCAUCUCUAACGCUGAGAUGCGAAAGCGUGGGGAGCAAACAGGAUUAGAUA
rnacentral:rRNA from 1 species